rnacentral:ncRNA from 1 species
GACACGGGGUGCCACUGGCUGAGAACACACCCGUUGAACCUGUCCAGAUAAUUCUGACGAAGGGAUGUCGC